GCCCCCGUCCGUCCUGUGGUCGUCCUGGUCUCCCCUUUCCCCCGACGACUGAUUUCCUCCUCUGCUUCUCCCCCGUUUCUUCUGUUUCCUCCUCUGCUUCUCCCCCGACGACUUCUCUUCUUCCCCCAAGACUGAUUUUGAAUCUUAGGCGAAUCUUAGGCGAAUCAGGCGGAUCGACGAACCGUAAUCUGACUGCUUCUUCUGUGUUCUUCUUCGUCCGUCUCGUGAUGGAUUCCUCUGGACAAGAAGGAGGUGGGGUUGCCCAAGUUGUUGAUCCAGAAGGGGAGGAACAAACUGAAUAUCCCCCUCAAGGUCUCCGCAAUGACUCAGCCCAAGAAGGAGGUGGGGUUGCCCAAGUUGAUGAACCAGAAGGUGAGGAACCAACUGAAUAUCCGCCACGAGGUCUCCGCAAUGACUCAGCUCGGGUAUUCCCUCACAAGUUAUGCAAGUCUACUUACAUUACCAGACUGUCUUUCAAGCGUUGGGAAAAAACUGUGAAGCAGUUUAGUGACAUUCAGUUAGGCCAUGUGAGAAAGUACAAAAUGGAAGCUCUACUUCAUAUGCCAAAGAAACUUAAAAUCCCCAUGAAUCUGCUUGAAUGGAUAGAUCAACACAUGUUUGGAACUAAAGAGCCCUGUUUCAAGCAUAAGAAUAAAGUUAUCAAGAUUACUAAAGAUAUGGUCGACAAAAUUUUCGAUUUCCCUGGUGGCACCAAGCCUUUUGUAUUCAGUAGCGAUGAUCCCCAAGUGAAAGCAGAGGUUACACAGUUGAGGAACAAGUAUAUUGAUCAUCGGAACAAAAUGCUAAUUAAUAAAAUAGAGGAGGUGAUGCUUAGUGAUGAGACAGAAGAUGGUUUUAUUAGGAGCUUCACAUUUUAUUUUCUAUCAUCUAUUUUGUGCCCUGCAUCAUAUUGUUUUGGCAACACCAAGUUCUUGUACUCUCUAAGAGAUGUUUCUGCUAUUCCUUCUCUCGACUUUGCGCAAUUGGCACUGGAUUUCAUGCGUGAGGAGUCAGAGCGUCACUUAGAAAUGAUCAUGAACAGACCAAGUGUUGAGGAAAUGAACAAGUCUUCAUAUAUUGGGGGAUGUCUUCCUAUUUGGGGAAUCAUUUAUCUGGAUUUUGUUGAUUUCGAUUUUAUUGAUAAUCAUCAGUCUACUGUGGAUUAUUCUCUUCCACGGAUAUGUCAUGUUAAGACAGAAGAUUUCAAGUAUCUUGCAUUGGUUGAUAGGAAUUAUGAGUCUAGGAAAUUUUUUGGUGUUUUACCACUGCGAGACAUAUCACAUACCCCAUAUUACAAUGUCGGGCCUAUUAACAAUGCUCCCGACGCUGAUGGUGUGAUUAACUCAACUCCUUAUGUGGAGGUCAACAAUGCAAAUAGUGUUCCUGAAGCUCUACAUGAGAACACGUCAAUUGAUUCAAAAAGUCCUCAUACCAUUUCAGAAAUUCCCAGUUCCACUGCAAAAGUUGAAGCAGAUUUAAAACCAAAACCAGAGCCACAUUUGAAAACAGAGGUUCCCUCCAGUGAUGUCCUUAAGCCGGAGCCAAUCGGACCAAAAUUUGAGAACAUUUUUGUCCUGAAUUCGGUGUACAAAACACCAAUAUUCCCAGCUCAUACUUCAAAUGUGAACACCAACUCUGUCCACCAAGAAACUACUUCACAACCUAAGGAAGUAGUUUUUCUAUCAGCUAAAGCAGAUGAUAUCAAAUUUUCCACUGAAGUUAAUGCAAAAAGAAGUUUUAUACUCAUCAGUUCUGCCUCUGGAAAUGAAAGAGUCAAGCGUUUUCAAGGAACUCCAAUUCUUAUUGAUGAUGAUUCUCCUACCACUCCUGCUGCCGCGACUAACGAAGUGAUACCAGCCUCUCACUGUGAUACAAGUGAAGGAAUUCCAAUGAACAUGGAGUUUUCUGUCCAACUAGGCUAUUCUUCAUUGAAUAAUGCAGAAGCUGGACCAAGUACAAGACCUAAUACAAUUGAAAAGAAGAACAGGAAAAAAAGAGCAGCUAAACUUCAAUCUCCUGAUGCACCAAAGAAACUGAAAAUAUCUCAAGAAGUGGACAUUUUCUUCUCCAAAUAUUUGAGGAAGCCUAUCUUUCAAGAAUAAAUAAAUUGUUGGUUCCUCCUGAGUCAUUUGAUCCUAUUAGUUGCAUACGAGAAUUUGACAGGAUUAAUUCAGAAGAAAGCAUCUGGAAACAAGACUUUUUAUACUUCCCUACCAUAAAAUCAAAUCACUGGGUUCUACUUUCCAUCAACUCUCUGUUUGAGAAAUCUCACUUUUUUGAUCCAUGUGGUACUAUUCUGGAUACUACCCAACAAGAACUUGUCUAUAACUUGCUCUCCAACUACAACAUGCUUUGCAAGCUGAGUAAAAAGCCAUUCAAGAACAUAUUCUCUUUCAAGCUUCAACCAGUAGGCCCUUACCCAACAAACUGUCUCUUGCAUGACUCAGGCCACUAUCUGCCUUUAUACAUGGAAAAUUUUGAAGGCAAAGCUAUGAAGAGUUUCAAUGAGGGCAACAUUCCGAAGUACAGAAUGAUUUAUGCAUUCAAGUUAUUCAAAAGCACUUUGAACAAGCUGAAAGAAGGAGAUCUGCCAAUACCAAAUUGACUUUUCCGCAAGAUGCAUACGCAAACAGUUUUCAAUGUGUAACUGAUUGGAACAAAACAUGUAUUUUCAUGUCUUCAAACAAUUACAUCUGUAAUCAUAUGGUAGUAGAUUCACGGUACUAGAUGUUUAAACUUUUUGCUACCACGAGCUAC